AAAUUGAAGAGUUUGAUCAUGGCUCAGAUUGAACGCUGGCGGCAGGCCUAACACAUGCAAGUCGAACGGUAACAGGAAGCAGCUUGCUGCUUCGCUGACGAGUGGCGGACGGGUGAGUAAUGUCUGGGAAACUGCCUGAUGGAGGGGGAUAACUACUGGAAACGGUGGCUAAUACCGCAUAACGUCGCAAGACCAAAGAGGGGGACCUUCGGGCCUCUUGCCAUCAGAUGUGCCCAGAUGGGAUUAGCUUGUUGGUGAGGUAACGGCUCACCAAGGCGACGAUCCCUAGCUGGUCUGAGAGGAUGACCAGCCACACUGGAACUGAGACACGGUCCAGACUCCUACGGGAGGCAGCAGUGGGGAAUAUUGCACAAUGGGCGCAAGCCUGAUGCAGCCAUGCCGCGUGUAUGAAGAAGGCCUUCGGGUUGUAAAGUACUUUCAGCGGGGAGGAAGGUGUUGUGGUUAAUAACCACAGCAAUUGACGUUACCCGCAGAAGAAGCACCGGCUAACUCCGUGCCAGCAGCCGCGGUAAUACGGAGGGUGCAAGCGUUAAUCGGAAUUACUGGGCGUAAAGCGCACGCAGGCGGUCUGUCAAGUCGGAUGUGAAAUCCCCGGGCUCAACCUGGGAACUGCAUUCGAAACUGGCAGGCUUGAGUCUUGUAGAGGGGGGUAGAAUUCCAGGUGUAGCGGUGAAAUGCGUAGAGAUCUGGAGGAAUACCGGUGGCGAAGGCGGCCCCCUGGACAAAGACUGACGCUCAGGUGCGAAAGCGUGGGGAGCAAACAGGAUUAGAUACCCUGGUAGUCCACGCCGUAAACGAUGUCUACUUGGAGGUUGUGCCCUUGAGGCGUGGCUUCCGGAGCUAACGCGUUAAGUAGACCGCCUGGGGAGUACGGCCGCAAGGUUAAAACUCAAAUGAAUUGACGGGGGCCCGCACAAGCGGUGGAGCAUGUGGUUUAAUUCGAUGCAACGCGAAGAACCUUACCUGGUCUUGACAUCCACGGAAGUUUUCAGAGAUGAGAAUGUGCCUUCGGGAACCGUGAGACAGGUGCUGCAUGGCUGUCGUCAGCUCGUGUUGUGAAAUGUUGGGUUAAGUCCCGCAACGAGCGCAACCCUUAUCCUUUGUUGCCAGCGAUUAGGUCGGGAACUCAAAGGAGACUGCCAGUGAUAAACUGGAGGAAGGUGGGGAUGACGUCAAGUCAUCAUGGCCCUUACGACCAGGGCUACACACGUGCUACAAUGGCGCAUACAAAGAGAAGCGACCUCGCGAGAGCAAGCGGACCUCAUAAAGUGCGUCGUAGUCCGGAUUGGAGUCUGCAACUCGACUCCAUGAAGUCGGAAUCGCUAGUAAUCGUGGAUCAGAAUGCCACGGUGAAUACGUUCCCGGGCCUUGUACACACCGCCCGUCACACCAUGGGAGUGGGUUGCAAAAGAAGUAGGUAGCUUAACCUUCGGGAGGGCGCUUACCACUUUGUGAUUCAUGACUGGGGUGAAGUCGUAACAAGGUAACCGUAGGGGAACCUGCGGUUGGAUCACCUCCUUA
rnacentral:rRNA from 4 species